GUUAGGGUGGCAGAGCCAGGUGUAUGCAUAAGACCUAAAAUCUUAACAACAGAAGUUCAAAUCUUCUCCCUAAUC
rnacentral:tRNA from 1 species